CCCCGAGCCGAAAUCGACAGACUGAAGCUAAUUUCACUUUAGCUCUAAACUCUUUAAAUACAUCAUUUUAUUGAGAUUUUUUUUAAUUCCGCGAGAAAGCGGCCGUUUAGAUCCCGAUUGUGUCAUUUAUUUGUCCAAAUACCAACGGUUUACAAUUUAGCUACGACGAAUUCAGCAAAAUUUAAGCUAGCCGAAGUGAGCAACGUACUUUCGGUUAUUUUUACUUUUUUCACACUUGUCCAAAUACCAACCGUUUACAAUUUCGUUACGACGAAUUCGGCAAAAAAAAAUUAAGCUAGCCGAAGUGAGCAAAGCACUCUCGGUUAUUUUUACUUUUCUCAUACUUGUCCAAAUACCAACUGUUUACAAUUUCGUUACGACGAAUUCGGCAAAAUUUAAGCUAGCCUAAGUGAGCAACGCACUUUCGGUUAUUUUUACUUUUCUCACACUUGUCCAAAUACCAACCGUUUACAAUUUCGUUACGACGAAUUCGGCAAAAUUUAAGCUAGCCGAAGCGAGCAAAGCACUUUCGGUUAUUUUUACUUUUCUCAUACAAAAAAACCCCAUAAAUCGCUGCUUUUACUUUGAAAACAAGAAGCCAACCAACUCGUAAUAUAUCUAGGUAAUUUAAUUCGCAUCCUAGGUAAUUUGGGUAUGAGUAGUAAGGUGAUGAUACAUACUCGGAUACUCCAAAAUGGCAUACUGCAUACUCAAAGAGUUAGUAUGAGUAGUAGGUAAGUAUGCGGUUUCCAUCACAGCCAGUCUGUUUGUCUGGGUGGGUGGAGGCGGGGCCGCUAGCAUACACACAGUGUGCACAACAAUGUAGCCUUGUGAGGGGCAAUGCAAGAAGGAAAGAAACUCGAACCAACCUGGUCAGGCGGUUGCACGUGUGUGAAUCCCUGGAAGAAGUGUGCGCCUCGCACACAGGUGAAGCUGCGCCUCGGGCCCGUGCUCGUGCUCCGGCGAGGUGGGCGCCCGGGUCACGUGGUCCAAGUCAUCCAGUAGGACCGCGGAGGGCUGCUUCCACUGCGCCUGCGUGAAAACGUCCUGCAGCGUCUGCCGCACCGUCUCCGCCCUUUUUCCUGAGAGAAAACACACGCGUUGUCUUGUCGCAUUAAACCCGCCAUGCAGCACAAGCGUGUCGUGUCGUGUCGUCUCGCCACCUUGCAACU